rnacentral:rRNA from 1 species
GAUGAACGCUGGCGGCGUGCCUAAUACAUGCAAGUCGAGCGAACAGACGAGGAGCUUGCUGCGCUGACGUGAGGGGCGGGCGGGUGAGUAACACGUGUAUAACCUACCUAUAAGACUGGGAUAACUUCGGGAAAGCGGAGCUAAUACCGGAGAAUAUAUUGAACCGCAUGGUUCAAUAGUGAAAGACGGCUUUGCUGUCACUUAUAGAUGGUUCCGCGCCGCAUUAGCUAGUUGGUAGGGUAACGGCCUACCAAGGCAAGGAUGCGUAGCCGACCUGAGAGGCGGAUCGGCGACACUGGAACUGAGACACGGUCCAGACUCCUACGGGAGGCCGCAGUAGGGAAUGUUCCGCAAUGGGCGAAAGCCUGACGGAGCAACGCCGCGUGAGUGAUGAAGGUCUUCGGAUCGUAAAACUCGGUUAUGAGGGAUGAACAAAUGUGGAAGUAACCAUGCACGUCUUGACGGUAACUAAUCAGAAAGCCACGGCUAACUACGUG